GGUUCAGUAGCUCAGUUGGUAGAGCGCUUGCCCGUUAAGCAAGAUGUCGCAGGUUCGAGUCCUUCCUGAAUCGCCA
rnacentral:tRNA from 1 species